UACGAAGGGGGCUAGCGUUGUUCGGAAUUACUGGGCGUAAAGGGCGCGUAGGCGGUACUUCAAGUCAGGCGUGAAAGCCCCGGGCUCAACCUGGGAACCGCGCUUGAGACUGGAGAACUAGAGUUCGGGAGAGGAUGGUGGUAUUCCCAGUGUAGAGGUGAAAUUCGUAGAUAUUGGGAAGAACACCGAUGGCGAAGGCAGCCAUCUGGACCGACACUGACGCUGAGGCGCGAAAGCGUGGGGAGCAAACAGG
rnacentral:rRNA from 1 species